rnacentral:rRNA from 1 species
UACGUAGGAGGCGAGCGUUGUCCGGAGUUACUGGGCGUAAAGCGCGCGUAGGCGGCUCGUUAAGUGUGAAGUGAAAUCCCGGGGCUCACCUCCGGAACUGCUUUACAUACUGGCGGGCUUGAGGGAUGCAGAGGUCUGUGGAAUUCCUGGUGUAACGGUGAAAUGUGUUGAUAUCAGGAGGAACACCCAUGGCGAAGGCAGCAGACUGGGCAUUUCCUGACGCUGAGGCGCGAAAGCGUGGGUAGCAAACAGG